rnacentral:tRNA from 1 species
GGAUGCGUAGCUCAGAUGGUAGAGCGCUCGCCUAGCAUGCGAGAGGUGCCGGGAUCGAUACCCGGCGCCUCCA